CGAUUUAGCAAAAACCCUUUCAAAAAACCCAUAGACUUCACGGCGUUGGAACCGGAAGUCCUAAAAUGCUAACUCGCUUCCGGGUUUUGCCUACAAAAACGCGUCAUCCCUGGGGCACUCAGGGAUGACAGGACAGUUCAAUAGGGGGCGGAAUAUGCCACUUUCACUUCGUCGUACUCACCCAAAGCAGACGAAGGAGAAAGUGUGGUGAUGCAGCAGUAAAUGAGGCUAAUAAGCAGCACCUGGAAGAACACAUCAAUGUACAAGAUGAGGGACUUUGCCCUUGAAUGUUUUGUGAUAAAUUGUAUAUAUAAUUCAUAGUCCCAACAUUGUUUUUGUUUUUUUUGUUUGUUUGUUUGUUUGUUUUUUUAGUCAGUUUACAUCGUACUCGGUAUGAAUGUCGAGAUUUCUACACAAUACACAGUAUUGUAUUUGGGUUAUUUUUUUAAUGGUAGCUAUUAAAGUGCGUUUUAAAAGCAAAAUAAAAAUACUAAAACACUA